GGAAGUAAAAGUCGUAACAAGGUUUCCGUAGGUGAACCUGCGGAAGGAUCAUUAAACCUUAUAUCACGGGGGCCGGCCUUGAAUUGCUUGCAGUUCCAUUGCGACGGCUUUUGCCUAUCCAUUGGUGAUAAACUCAGCUUUUCUCCCCGCCCUGCCGGAAUAUUACCCAUGAUUUUUGCGUACCCAUUGUUUCCUCGGCAGGCUUGCCUGCCAGUAGGACCUUUUUAAACCAUUUUGCAAUUGCAGUCAGCGUCAGAAAAACUUUAAUAGUUACAACUUUCAACAACGGAUCUCUUGGUUCUGGCAUCGAUGAAGAACGCAGCGAAAUGCGAUAAGUAGUGUGAAUUGCAGAAUUCAGUGAAUCAUCGAAUCUUUGAACGCACAUUGCGCCCCUUGGUAUUCCAUGGGGCAUGCCUGUUCGAGCGUCAUUUGUACCUUCAAGCUCUGCUUGGUGUUGGGUGUUUGUUCCACUAUGCGUGUGAACUCGCCUAAAAUCAAUUGGCAGCCGGCAAUCUGGUGUUUGAGCGCAGCACAUCUUGCGCUCUUCGCUGUAUUGUGGCGUCCAUAAAGCCCAUAUCUAUGCGCUUGACCUCGGAUCAGGUAGGGAUACCCGCUGAACUUAAGCAUAUCAAUAAGCGGAGGAAAUCGUGGA
rnacentral:rRNA from 1 species